ACACACACACACACACACACAUAUACACAGUACACAUAAAAAUAUACAAAUACAUAUACAUAUGCAUGUAUAUGUAUAUAUAUGUGUGUGUGUGUGUGUGUAU
rnacentral:miRNA from 1 species